GGGUGAAGCAGAGGCGGGCAUGACCAUCUCCAGAUCAGGCACAGCACUGUCACCCAUGUUGAUAUUGUUGGUACAGGCUACAGUACAGGAGUGAGUGUCUGUCUGCCUGCAUGUGGUACUUAGUGCUGGGCUCCUUCAGGAACCAGGAGAGAGAAUGAAGCCUCUCAAGGCCUGGAGUGUGCUCAGUAAAGAAUCCAGCUGUGGUCCCUUGCUCUGUGUCUGACUAAAUGCUGGUUCAUCUGUUGCAGUGUCACUGUGCCGUGCCCAAGAUCCAAGGCCACACUCUUCACAGAGAGCCUCGGGCUGGGUUCUCACCUGUGCUUUCGUGCUCUGGACUGCGAGUGCACCCAGGGUUCUUCCAUCCCGACACAGCUCUGUGCCUUCAGCCCCGGGUCCUCAGCGGGGACACUCGAGCCUCUGCUCUCACAAUGCCCUGUUUGGGUUUUUAUCAGCCCUGUCUGCAUUGGAGCCUCACUGCAGUGUUCCUGGUGGCUCCUUUAACUCCUGCUGCUGCCCAUGGGGUUUCCAGAGCCUCCACUUCCAGCUCAGUGGGAUUUCCAUUCAUGGACUUGCUGUUCCUGUGUGGGCCAGUGUCAUGUGGCCAUCAGGAAGUCUGCACACCCAACACUUACUGUGCCAGAAACUCUGGAGGCACCCAGCACCUCACAGCUGUUCAGGUUGUGGCAGGGCCUCUGCUCAAGUUGGAUGUGGAAAUAAAAGCAACCCUGUGUGAAA
rnacentral:lncRNA from 1 species